AACUGCCACAGAUUCAACACGCCACAAAUACUCUCUUUAUAUUCAUAUUUGAGUAAUUCGCAAAAGGGCCUUUUUUAUUAUUGUGAUAUAAAUAUUAAUUGAGGAAAUUACGUUAGGGUCACUUGUUGCAUUCCCUCUCUACGGCCGGAGCGUCAAGUUUCUAGCUUUGAGGGAGAUCUCAUCUGGGUUUUGUUUGGUUUGAUUUGGGUCUGCAUUUUAUUGGGAUAAAGAGGGUGAUUGUUAGGUUAUUUUAGAGAGAGAGAGAUGAGCGGUGUAUCAAAAAUUUGGGAGAAGGUGAAUAUGAUGACCGAAGGAGGAUCUCGGAAUUGUUCGAAGAAAUCUGAUGAUAUAUGUGGUGAUGCCUGUGGUGAGGAUUCAGGAAGGCCUUUAAGCAUGACCAGAUUGAGAUGUAUUCUCCGGGGGCUCGAUUUCAAAGCAUUGCUCUUUCUCUUUGUGUUGAUCCCUACGUGCGGCUUAGUUAUAUAUGUCCAUGGCCAGAAGAUCACGUACUUUCUGAGACCGUUGUGGGAGUCCCCGCCUAAGUCUUUCCACGAGAGACCUCACUACUAUCACGAGAAUGUGUCUAUGGAGAAUCUGUGCAAGCUUCACGGCUGGGGAAUUCGUGAGUAUCCUAGACGUGUGUAUGAUGCAGUGCUGUUCAGCAACGAGGCGGACCUCCUAAAGAUGCGCUGGAAGGAGUUAUAUCCGUAUGUGACAGAGUUUGUGCUCCUUGAGUCGAACUCCACCUUCACUGGGCUGCCUAAGCCCUACCUCUUCUCAACUGUCCGUGAUCAGUUCAAAUUUGUUGAGCCCCGGUUAACUUAUGGCCAAGUCCCGGGGAGAUUCAAGAGAGGGGAGAACCCUUUUGUUGAAGAGGCGUAUCAGAGAUAUGCAUUGGAUUAUCUUCUCAAGCAAGCCGGGAUUCAAGAUGAUGACUUGUUGAUAAUGUCGGAUGUUGAUGAGAUCCCAAGUAGGCACACAAUUAAUCUCUUGAGGUGGUGCGAUGACAUACCGCCAAUUCUUCAUCUCCGCCUCAAGAAUUAUUUGUACUCGUUCGAGUUCUUUGUUGAUAACAACAGCUGGAGGGCGUCUGUCCACGUAUACCAGUCUGGGAAGACGAAAUAUGCUCACUAUCGACAAUCUGAUGAGAUCUUGGCCGAUGCAGGGUGGCAUUGUAGCUUCUGCUUCAGACGAAUCAGCGAGUUUAUAUUCAAGAUGAAAGCCUACAGCCACGUGGAUCGAGUGAGAUUCUCUCAUUUCCUGAGCCCUAAGAGAAUCCAGAAAGUGAUCUGCAAAGGGGCUGACUUGUUUGACAUGCUUCCCGAGGAGUACACGUUCAAAGAGAUAAUCGGGAAGAUGGGGCCGAUCCCACAUUCCUACUCGGCCGUUCAUCUGCCUGCAUAUAUCUUGGAAGAAGCUGAUCAAUACAAAUUCCUUCUACCUGGGAAUUGCAUAAGAGAAAGAGAGAGUGGCUGAAACUACACAAACGAGGCUGUGUAUCUUCUUGUACAGGCGGGGAAGCAAGCUUCUGCUCGACUCCCGGAUGAUUCAUCCCCAUCAUGAUAAACCUUAUAAGUAGAAGCUGCAGAUACAACACCACCAUCAUUCAAUUGUGAGAGAGAGUGAGAUAAUCAAGAAAAAUGCAGAUGUACAAGGAAGACUACUACUCCACGGAAGAGGAAUUCCUCUACAAAGACGAAUACAGCUACAGCAACGGCUCCAUGCACAUGAUGAAGCCUCCUGUUGAGCAUUGCGUGCCAAAGAUCGACUACAAUAAUUCCUACACCAGUGGCAACCACCUUGAGAAGAAGGGCCACAUGGCGGUGUCGUCAGAGAUGAAGCAUGAAGGCUGGGGCGGCGCCAAGAGUGAGCAUUAUGGCCAAGGUGGCAAGAUGCACCACGAAGGUCACAAGGAGGGGAUGGGGAUGAAGCAACAUGGUGGUGGUCAGGGGCAUUAUGGUCAUCACGGAGAAGGGGUGGAGCAUGGUGGUGGAUACGGGGGCAAUCAUGGGCACUUUGGUAUUCACAAGGAGGAGAAGCACGGUGGUGGUUAUGGGGGUCAUCAGGGGUAUUUUGGUCCUGAAAAGGAGGGGAUGGGGAUGAAGCAAUAUGGUGGUGGUGGUGGUGGUGGUGGUGGUGGUGGUUAUGGUUAUGGAGGUCAUUAUGGUCAGCACGAAGAGGGGAUGAAGUAUGGCGGUGGGUACGAGGCCAACCAAGUGCACUUUGGACUUCACAAGGAGGAGAAGCAUGGUGGUGGUUAUGGUUAUGGGGGUCAUCAGGGGUAUUUUGGUCAUCAAGGAGGAGGGAUGAAGCAUGGUGGAUAUGGGGCCCACCAGGGGCAAUAUUGUCCACCAAAUCAGAAGUUUUCAGUCUGGGAGUUCAAGAGCAUUGUAGACUGAUGAUGGAGAUAUAUAUGAUGUUGUAAUAGCAUAUGAUGAUGAUGAUGAAGGGAUUUUUGGGUAAAAAUAUUCAAGAAUUCCUCUACUAAAUAAGUGAGUUGUAUGUGUAUGUGUUUGGGAACCAGUAUUUAAUGAUCAAUGUAAUAUCCUAUCUUAUCAAAAGUUAAA